rnacentral:lncRNA from 1 species
CCAGGUGCACCCUGCGACAUCCAAAGGUCAGGCUUUCAGCCGCUGUGGCUUCCACUUCCAACUGGCUCCACAUCCCCAGGGAGGGAUCACACAGCACUUUGCCAGCACAUUCUAUUGCGUGUUUAAUGUUCCUGUGAAUGCGCCCUUGCCAUUUCUCUCUUUCCCCUCCACACAGAGCUUAGAAGCAAAGUUAAGAGACUCAUCAGAUUCCGAGCUGCUGCGGGAUAUUUUGCACAAGACUGUGAAGCAUCCUGUGUGUGUGAAGCACCCGCCGUCCGUCAAAUAUGCCCGGUGCUUUCUCUCAGAACUCAUCAAAAAGGUCAGUUAUGGGCAGUGUCCGCCCAGUAGCUGGACAGCAUAGCCACUUUCGUGCUGGAGCCCCUGUCCUUCCCAGGCCCUGGGCCUGCUUUGCAAACCCCAGCAUGGCAGGGGCUCCCCAGGCAACUGGCUGCAGCCGCGUGUGACCCAUGGGAAACAGUGCAGGGCGGGAAGAAGGGGAGGCCAGCGUCUCUCCCUCACUCUGCCUCCUGGGGUUUCCACAGCAGCUGCUUCUUUGGGGCCCCAGCUCCUAGCAUAUGGAUUCUCAUUCCUACCGGGCUGGCCCAGCCCACAGCACUGGAACCCGCACCCACACUCUCUGUCCUGCCCGCCAAAGGGUUUGGAGUUUCCUGCUCUUGUCCGUCUCUGGGUUGCCCCACGGGCC